UGAGGAAUAUUGCUCAAUGGGAGAAAUCCUGAAGCAGCAACGCCGCGUGGAGGAUGAAGGGUCUAUGACUUGUAAACUCCUGUAAAGAAGGAAAAAAUUCCCAUUUGAUGGGAGAUGAUGGUACUUCUGGAGUAAGCCCCGGCUAACUACGUGCCAGCAGCCGCGGUAAUACGUAGGGGGCAAGCGUUGUCCGGAUUUACUGGGUGUAAAGGGUGCUCAGGCGGAUUUGUAAGUCAGAGGUGAAAUCUUACAGCUUAACUGUGAAACUGCCUUUGAUACUGCAAGCCUAGAGUAUGGAAGAGAGAGAUGGAAUAUCUGGUGUAGCAGUGAAAUGCGUAGAUAUCAGAUAGAACACCAAUGGCGAAGGCAGUCACUUGGUCCAUUACUGACGCUAAAGCACGAAAGCGUGGGUAGCAAACA
rnacentral:rRNA from 1 species